UACGGGGGGUGCGAGCGUUGUCCGGAAUCACUGGGCGUAAAGGGCGCGUAGGUGGCCUGAUAAGGGUGUGGUGAAAGUCCGGGGCUCAACCCCGGAUCGGCCGUGCCGACUGUUAGGCUAGAGUACUGUAGGGGCAGGCGGAAUUCCGGGUGUAGCGGUGGAAUGCGUAGAGAUCCGGAGGAAGACCGGUGGCGAAGGCGGCCUGCUGGGCAGUUACUGACACUGAGGCGCGACAGCGUGGGGAGCGAACAGG
rnacentral:rRNA from 1 species